UACAGAGGUCCCGAGCGUUGUUCGGAUUCACUGGGCGUAAAGAGUGCGUAACCGGUCGGGUAAGUCUGACGUGAAAUCUUCAAGCUUAACUUGGAAACUGCGUCGGAUACUAUUCGGCUGGAGGAAUGGAGGGGAGACUGGAAUACUUGGUGUAGCAGUGAAAUGCGUAGAUAUCAAGUGGAACACCAGUGGCGAAGGCGAGUCUCUGGACAUUUCCUGACGCUGAGGCACGAAAGCCAGGGGAGCAAACGGG
rnacentral:rRNA from 1 species